rnacentral:rRNA from 1 species
AAUGAACGUUGGCGGCGUGGAUUAGGCAUGCAAGUCGCGCGACAAGGAACCUUCGGGUUCUGGAGGAGCGGCAAACGGGGUAGUAAGGCAUCGGAACGUACCCUCUUGUUGGGAAUAGCCGCGGGAAACUGCGAGUAAUGCCCAAUAAUCCCUACGGGGCAAAGGUCCGCCGCAGGAGGAGCGGCCGAUGUGAUACCAGCUAGUUGGUGAGGUAAUGGCUCACCAAGGCUUAGACGUCUAGGGGGUGUGAGAGCAUGGCCCCCACCACUGGACGUGAGAUACUGCCCACGACACCUAACCGGGUGGGCGU